rnacentral:SRP_RNA from 1 species
GGCUGGGGCCUAUGCAACGUCUGACUAGCUAACCCCGUCAGGCCCGGAAGGGAGCAGCGGUCGUUGGUUGAACGUGUGCUGUAGGUUACCUGGCCACU